rnacentral:rRNA from 1 species
UACGAAGGGGGCUAGCGUUGUUCGGAAUUACUGGGCGUAAAGGGCGCGUAGGCGGUGCCUCAAGUCAGGCGUGAAAGCCCCGGGCUCAACCUGGGAACCGCGCUUGAGACUGGAGUACUAGAGUUCGGGAGAGGAUGGUGGAUUCCCAGUGUAGAGGUGAAAUUCGUAGAUAUUGGGAAGAACACCGAUGGCGAAGGCAGCCAUCUGGACCGACACUGACGCUGAGGCGCGAAGGCCAGGGGAGCAAACGGG